GAUGAACGCUGGCGGCGUGCCUAAUACAUGCAAGUAGAACGCUGAAGGAGGAGCUUGCUCUUCUGGAUGAGUUGCGAACGGGUGAGUAACGCGUAGGUAACCUGCCUGGUAGCGGGGGAUAACUAUUGGAAACGAUAGCUAAUACCGCAUGACAACAGUUAUUGCAUGAUAACUGUUUAAAAGGGGCAACUGCUCCACUACCAGAUGGACCUGCGUUGUAUUAGCUAGUUGGUGAGGUAACGGCUCACCAAGGCGACGAUACAUAGCCGACCUGAGAGGGUGAUCGGCCACACUGGGACUGAGACACGGCCCGGACUCCUACGGGAGGCAGCAGUAGGGAAUCUUCGGCAAUGGACGGAAGGCUGACCGAGCGACGCCGGGUGAGUGAAGAAGGAUGUCGGAUCGUAAGGCUCUGUUGUAAGAGAAGAACGAGUAUGAGAGUGGAAAGUGCACACUGUGACGGUAGCUUAACAGAAAGAGACGGCUAACUACGUG
rnacentral:rRNA from 1 species